UCUACAGCCAUACCAUCCUGAACGCACCUGAUCUCGUCUGAUCUCAGAAACUUAGCAGGGUCAGGCUUGGUUAGUACUUGGAUGGGAGACAACAUGGGUAUACUGGGUGCUGUAGGC
rnacentral:rRNA from 1 species